GUUAAUAGUUUGCAAAUCAUAUGCCUUUCCAUUAUAUAUAUUUGAUUCCUUUAUUCAGUCCGCUAAUGGUACAUCCUGUGAAUUUUAUAAUAGUUUUAAAAGAUAUCAAAGUUAUAUAGCUUUUCAUUCGUAUACGUUUUCAGCUAUGAAAGUGAUUAUAUGUCAAUUUAUCUAAAAGUUGUGAAUACGUUUCUAAAGGAAUCAUCCUCAUCGCGUACAUUUGUUACAACAGAUGAAUACAUAAGAGCGAAAAAUAAAUCUAAUAAUAAAUAAAUUUAUCUGCGUAAUAAAUUUCAAUCUUUCUUACAAAUAAUUUGAAGAAAUAAUAUUUAUCUGUAUCUAUUCAUUUUUAUUUAAAAACGUCUAUUAAUAUAGAAUUAAUAAUUGAAAUGAAAUAUUACGAAUCGAUAGAAGUCGGAAAUCAUACGGAAUGUUCGGACGAUUACUAAUUAGAAGAAAAUGAAGCGACAAAUUUGCAGCAAAAGCACGAGUUCUCAUAAAAUAUUUGGGACAUCGUUGGAAGUUAGAAAUAACUAUGCGAAAGAAGAAAAAAAUGUUUAUACUACACGUUGUUUCGCUAUCUGAAAGCAAUUACAGCAAUCAGUUCAACUUAUCAUCAGUGACCAUCAUUUGUGUUGGUACACAUAUAUAUUGCACAAUACUUAAAUAUGCUACCAUUGCCAAUGAUGGUGGGAGGAAAGACAAUAAUACAUUAGGAAAACUCUUGAAAGAACUGAAGAAAGCAUUGUCUACAGUCAAGGACGUGAAUCAUUUAGAAAACCAAUUAAAAGAGAAAAUCCAAAACGAUAAAGGAUCGGUAAUUGUAUAAGCUCGUCACAAAUAAGAUAUAGAUGUCAAAAAAUGAAAUAGAUUAAGUAAACUACCUGGAAAUAUAACAUUUUAGAGGAAUAUUCGAAUCUUAACAGCAAAAUCAUGGAGAAAGAACAGUGAGUUAAAGGAUCAUUCACAAGAGAUUUUUCAUCAGAGGUAGCUUCUCAUUUUGUAUUGCAGAAAAAAUAGAAAAUUUUCAAUAUUUAGAAGAUCAUCCUCAAAUUAUCGAAGAUGAAUUGCACAAGUAAAAAUUAAUAUGCAAAAUUUACGUGAGCCUAAUGUAAUUCUUUGAUGCAUAAAUAUACUUUGAAAAUGGGGUAGAAGAAUACUGUGAAUUUCACAUUCGUUUUGACAAAAACCGCCUAAAAGAAAACAAAAUAUGGAAAUGGAAUAAAGAAUUCAGACCAAAUAAUCUGGAUUUAGACCAUCGAAGAAAAGAACCUUCAACAAUACGGAACAAGCAACAAGGAUGUUAUACAAUAGCGAGCCACUUGUGAAAGUCAAAUUUAGCAGUAACAAAUGAUACAACAACUUACAGACUGCAACAGAGUAUUCUAAGAUUUACACAUCAAUGAAAAGUCGAGCUCGGAAUUGCUACAAAUAGAAACGCUGAAUAAAAUAAGCACCAAAUCGCACAUUUCAAAUAAUCGAGAGGAUUAAACUAUUACAUAUAUGUUAUCUAAUAUUCGAUCACCGCUCUGACGAAAUAAUGAUGGAAUGCAGAAAGGUACCAUGAAAAAGGAUAUUAAUCUGCAACAACAUAGUAAUAACACACCGUUAAUCGAAUGGAUGUUUAAAUUGUUUCAACUAUUGUAUUCAACUAUUGUCGCAACUAGAAUUAAUACCUUACAUUUGCUAAUUUUUGUUAUAACGCGCGUUUAUCCAUAAAACGUCUAUCGGUUAUAUGUCAUCAUAUAUGAUGAAACUUUAGAUCUUUUAUUUGGUAAUGCUGAUAAAAUUAGCUUAAAUUAAUUGAUAAUUCAAUUGUUCGUAGCAUUAACUUUCUGCAUGAAUAGAAUUAACUAUAGAAAUAGAAGUAAGAGCUAUUCCCAGCAGUGUCACUAUUACAAUUUCAGAAUUAAUCCAGUAGCUUAUUAUGACAAUAGUUAUCCAUUGAUCUCUUGAGCCAAAGAAUGUAAAAUAUCAUAAUAAGAGAAGUAUGAAUUACCGACAAGAAUUCAAUAUAGCAAUCUUUAAUAUCAACGUAUGAGAAUCGCAAGUGUAAACUAAAUGCUGACGUCAUAUAUAUCAACGGAGCAAUCAGAAAAAUCCAGAUGACUCAUAGUGGACGCGAACAUGCCUGAAAGGAUGGACCCUGGUGACUACAAGUUCGCUGUAGUAGGUACAGACUUUCGAACCUAUUCGUCGUUGGCAUGAUUGAAAGAUCGAAGAAAUUGAAAAAUUCACCCAUCGCUUAGAAAAAUUCUGCGGUGUUCCUCUAUCACGUCUACUUCACAACUACUACGGUAGUCACGCGAACAAUGAACUCCGUGAUAUUUCUUUUUAUAAAGAAACAAAUAAGCAAAAAAGAAAAUACACGCAGUGCUCACUUUGAUUUCAAUUAUGUUGAUCCUUGCAUAGUGAAAAUAAUGUGCCAGAAUAACGAAUUCUUAGAGUACAACAGAAUAAUGGCUCAUUGCUUUUAGAUGAAAAUAAACACAAAAGCAAUAAUACCAUUAUUAUAAUAAAAAAUAUUAUGAAAAUUAUUUAAGAUAUAUUGAAAAGAGCAAAUUAUCUAUCACGUAAAACAACCUACUGACAGAAAAAUGGCUAUUAUAAGUUUAUUUUCACAUAAUCGGCCAAUUCUUACUCCGCAAAACAAACAGACUUGAAUGGACAAUAACUUUCACAACAAUUUACUUUUUACCUUUCACUGCAUUACAUAUCUCAUGUGUCUCUCUCACAAUCUCUCUAUCUGUAUUUAUUUAAUCGAUCUAAUAAUGAUCGAUUAAAUUGCAUUAAAGCAUGAUUAAAUUAAUUUUACAAACAUUGAUAAUUGCUACAAUAAUAUAAAAUCGAUAGUAAGUAAAGCUUUUAAAAAAUUUCCCGAUUCUCCAUAAGAAAAAAGAAAAUAAAUAAAAAUAGAAUAAAAUGGAAAGAAUCAUGACCGAUGUUAGGCCGCUAAAAAGUUUUAAGUGCGAUCACUUAAUCAUAAUAUAAUUUAAUUUUCUUAUAAGACCGAUACGUCAACGGCACGACCUACUUAUAAGACCGAAACUGAUUUCCUUGUGUCGAUUACUCCUUCGAAUGCACAUCGACACGAUUGUAAGCCUCAAACGAUUCGAUCUAUCAACGAAAAACGACGAUUACUUUUCGACGAUUAAAAACGACGAUUAAAACGAUCUUGUGAAAAAGGUCUACGAGCCACAAUCUUCUACGUCACAAGCACGAGAAAUGUUCAACGCUGAAGAACCAGAAAACAUUAUAAAAAAAUUAAACAUGAUUUCCGAUGUUAAGGGAUUAAUAUAUAAGCGGAUAAAGUUCAAUUACUUUUUUCACAAGAGAACAAACAUUCGUGUCGAUUGGUCACGAUAGACAAAUAAACAAAAAAAUCUUCAAAAUGCAAUAAAACAUGUACACAGAUUAAUGAUACAGAGAUGAGAAAAACGUGAGCAUUUGUAUUCACCAAUUGUACUAACAAAACCAGCGUACCUGCCAUAGUAAAAUUUGGUUCCUCUCUUUGCACGAAGACGAAAUAGAGAAAAUUCAUUGAGCACGAGAUUAACACUUUGACGGCCGAAAUCACGUAUACGUGAGUUCACGAGCCAGCGGUUAUCGGCCAAACUCACGUACACGUGACUUCGCGCAAUCGGCAGUUACCGGCUGGUUACAUGUAUACAAAUAUUUGCAAAGCGUCAGUUG